rnacentral:tRNA from 2 species
GGCCGAGUGGCGGAAUGGCAGACGCUGGGGACUUAAAAUCCCCUGCUCGAAAGGGCGUGUGGGUUCGAGUCCCACCUCGGCCA